rnacentral:rRNA from 1 species
AUUGAACGCUGGCGGCAGGCCUAACACAUGCAAGUCGAGCGCGGGGCGCAGGUGUGAGAAAUGUCUGAGACACCCCCUUAUGGCGGGGGAUAACUGCUGAAACCGGUAACUAAUACCGCAUAUCAUCAGUUGCGCGCAGGUUGUAUUCGCUAGUAGGUGGGGUAAUGGCUCACCUAGGCGACGAUCCCUAGCUGGUCUGAGAGGAUGACCAGCAACACUGGAACUGAGACACGGUCCAGACUCCUACGGGAGGAAGCAGUGGGGAAUAUUGCACAAUGGGCGCAAGCCUGAUGCAGCCAUGCCGCGUGUGUGAAGAAGGCCUUCGGGUUGUAAAGCACUUUCAGCGGGGAGGCGUUACCCGCAGAAGAAGCACCGGCUAACUCCGUGCCAGCAGCCGCGGUAAUUC